rnacentral:tRNA from 1 species
UGGUGUAGCUCAGUCGGUAGAGCACUUCACUCGUAAUGAAGAGGUCGCAGGUUCAAGUCCUGUCUCCAG